rnacentral:rRNA from 1 species
AUUGAACGCUGGCGGCAAGCCUAACACAUGCAAGUCGAACGAGUGGCGGACGGGUGAGUAAUGUCUGGGAAACUGCCUGAUGGAGGGGGAUAACUACUGGAAACGGUAGCUAAUACCGCAUACCAUCGGAUGUGCCCAGAUGGGAUUAGCUAGUAGGUGGGGUAAAGGCUCACCUAGGCGACGAUCCCUAGCUGGUCUGAGAGGAUGACCAGCACCACGGGAACUGGGACACGGUCCAGACUCCUACGGGAGGCAGCAUAGGGGAAUUUUGCACAAUGGGGGCAAGCCUGAUGCAGCAAUGCCGCGUGUAUGAGGAAGGCCUUCGGGUUGUAAAGUACUUUCAGCGGGGAGGCGUUACCCGAAGAAGAAGCACCGGCUAACUCCGUGCCAGCAGCCGCGGUAAUAC